ACACUUUGGAGUAUAUGUUUCCGUCCCCGCAAUCCCUCCUCAUUCAUUCCCGCCAGCCGUGACCUCAGAGUGACAUCGUGACGUGAUCUACAUAUCCAGAAAUUCUCUGAAGCUACACCAUGAAGCUGUUUGUCUGCAUGAUGCUGGCGACGAUGAUUGUCAUGGCAACGCUGAUCGACGACUCCGAGGGAUGGAGACGUCGGCGCAGGCGCAGGGGGUCGAGCGGGUCGAGCGGUGGAUGUCUGACCUUGGAUGCAGAUGCUGACUCAGAGUUGAGGGAGGUUGUGGAAGAGGCGAGGUCGCUCCUGGAGGAACUUGAUGAGGCCAGUGAACACUUGGAUACUAAACAAGUGGAGAACACACUCGCGGAUCAGGAAGAAGGUCGAACGAGAAGGAGUCUCCAGUAAGAAAUUGUAUAAAGUUGAAACUGAUUUAGAACCAAAGGACGAUUAGUCGGCAAUUUAUUUUCUCGGAUGGAAUAUCUUUUGUCUCGUAUUACUCAUGUAACAUAAAAUGUUAUUCAAAUCAAAGAGGACGCCACUUGAAAUGGUAAAGCAGCUUUGCGUCUAAUAUUGGAUAUGAUCUGUUGACUUACAAAUCACUCGGAAAAAGUGAAGAGAGAGACUCUCGAUCGAGGAAUUUAGUCAAGUUAAAACUGGUUUAGAAGUUCAUUAGACGAUUCAAUUUUUUCAGGAUUGAAUUAGUUUUGUCUCUUGUUUUCUCUCGCCUUUUACACAACAUGCAAUGUUCGUCAUCUCAACUCAAAGGAAAUGUUCCUUGGGCUUGAAAUAGAACUAGUAUCGUGCCUAAUUAUGGAUUUAAUAUUUUCGAACAGUAAUUUAUGGUGAAAACCCUGCAUCAUUCAUUUAAGAAGACGUACAAAUACAUUUUGUGACAUUGCUGUUUCAAUAAAACGUAUUGAUAAAAA